CCUGAAGGCAGGAGAGGCGAGUGGGGUUAAGUAGUAACAAGGUAUCCCUACGAGAACGUGGGGAUGGAUCACCUCCUUUCUGCGGAGUACAAUUAUUAGUUAAUUAAUUAACUAACUUUACCUUAAGACUAUUAUUAACAUUUGGUCAUGUACAUUGAAGUAGUCCAAUGAUAUAUCUAGUUUUGAGAGAACUUUCUCUCAUUAUGUUCUUUGAAAACUGAAUAGUAAAGAUAAAUUAAUAUAACAACGACAUCAAAAAAACAAUUAGUCAAUUUGUUUUGUGAUACCGAGUUGAUAAUUAUUAGCAAUAAUAAUUUAUUAAAAUGUCUUUGAAUACAUCAACAAUAGGAAAAUACAUAACUUUUAAAUAAGUAAGAGUUUGUGGUGGAUGCCUUGGGUCUAGAAGUCGAUGAUGGACGUGAUUUACCUGCGA
rnacentral:misc_RNA from 1 species